AGUAAAGUCAGCUAAUAAAGCUCUUGGGCCCAUACCCCAACCAUGUUGGUUAAAAUCCUUCCUUUACUA
rnacentral:tRNA from 1 species